GACGAACGCUGGCGGCGUGCUUAACACAUGCAAGUCGAACGGAAAGGCCCUGCUUUUGUGGGGUGCUCGAGUGGCGAACGGGUGAGUAACACGUGAGUAACCUGCCCUUGACUUUGGGAUAACUUCAGGAAACUGGGGCUAAUACCGGAUAGGAGCUCCUGCUGCAUGGUGGGGGUUGGAAAGUUUCGGCGGUUGGGGAUGGACUCGCGGCUUAUCAGCUUGUUGGUGGGGUAGUGGCUUACCAAGGCUUUGACGGGUAGCCGGCCUGCGAGGGUGACCGGCCACAUUGGGACUGGAAUGCGGCCCAGACUCCUACGGGAGGCAGCAGUGGGGAAUAUUACACUAUGGGCGGAAGCCUGAUGCAGCAACGCCGCGUGCGGGAUGACAGCCUUCGGGUUGUAAACCACUUUCGCCUGUGACGAAGCGUGAGUGACGGUAAUGGGUAAAGAAGCACCGGCUAACUACGUG
rnacentral:rRNA from 1 species